GUCCGUGGCCAUACCACCCUGAAUGCGCCCGAUCUCGUCUGAUCUCGGAAGCUAAGCAGGGUCAGGCCUGGUUAGUACUUGGGUGGGAGAUUAUUUACUUUAUAUAGGAGGCAUUUUCG
rnacentral:rRNA from 1 species